rnacentral:rRNA from 1 species
AUUGAACGCUGGCGGCAGGCCUAACACAUGCAAGUCGAACGAGUGGCGGACGGGUGAGUAAUGUCUGGGAAACUGCCUGAUGGAGGGGGAUAACUACUGGAAACGGGAGCUAAUACCGCAUACCAUCAGAUGGGCCCAGAUGGGAUUAGCUAGUUGGUGGGGUACCGGCGCACCAAGGCGACGAUCCCUAGCUGGUCUGAGAGGAUGACCGGCAACACUGGAACGGAGACAAGGUCAAGACUCCUACGGGAGGCAGCAGUGGGGAAUAGUGAACAAGGGGCGCAAGCCUGAUGCAGCCAUGCCGCGUGUAUGAAGAAGGCCUUCGGGUUGUAAAGUACUUUCAGCGAGGAGGCGUUACCCGCAGAAGAAGCACCGGCUAACUCCGUGCCAGCAGCCGCGGUAAUUC